UUCCGGUUGAUCCUGCCGGAGGUCACUGCUAUCGGGGUUCGAUUAAGCCAUGCGAGUCGAGAGGGUUCGGCCCUCGGCGUACUGCUCAGUAACACGUGGAUAACCUGCCCUAAGGAAGGGGAUACCCCCGGGAAACUGGGGAUAAUACCCUAUAGGUUACAGAUGCUGGAAUGCUCUGUAACCGAAAGUUCCGGCGCCUUAGGAUGGAUCUGCGGCCGAUUAGGUUGUUGUCGGGGUAACGGCCCAACAAGCCAGUAAUCGGUACGGGUUGUGGGAGCAAGAGCCCGGAGUUGGAUUCUGAGACACGAAUCCAGGCCCUACGGGGCGCAGCAGGCGCGAAAACUUUACAAUGCGGGCAACCGUGAUAAGGGAACCUCGAGUGCCUGUAUAUGCAGGCUGUCUGGGUGUCUAAAACACACCUAAAGAAAGGGCCGGGCAAGACCGGUGCCAGCCGCCGCGGUAAUACCGGCGGCUCGAGUGGUGGCCACUUUUAUUGGGCUUAAAGCGUUCGUAGCUGGGUUAUUAAGUCCCUUGGGAAAUCCGACGGCUUAACCGUCGGGCGUCUAAGGGAUACUGGCAAUCUUGGAACCGGGAGAGGUGAGGGGUACUUCGGGGGUAGGAGUGAAAUCCUGUAAUCCUCGAGGGACCACCUGUGGCGAAGGCGCCUCACCAGAACGGCUUCGACAGUGAGGGACGAAAGCUGGGGGAGCAAACCGGAUUAGAUACCCGGGUAGUCCCAGCCGUAAACGAUGUGCGUUAGGUGUAUCGGUGACCACGAGUCACCGAGGUGCCGAAAGGGAAACCGUGAAACGUACCGCCUGGGAAGUACGGUCGCAAGGCUGAAACUUAAAGGAAUUGGCGGGGGAGCACCACA
rnacentral:rRNA from 1 species